rnacentral:rRNA from 1 species
GAUGAACGCUGGCGGCGUGCCUAAUACAUGCAAGUCGAACGAACGGACGAGAAGCUUGCUUCUCUGAUGUUAGCGGCGGACGUGUGAGUAACGCGUGUAUAACCUACCUAUCAGACUGAUAUAACUUCGGGACACCGGAUCUAAUACGGUAUAAGAUUUUGAACCGCGGUGGUCAAAGGUGAAAUACGGUGGUUCGGUCACGUAUAGAUGGUUCCGCGCUGCAUGAGCUAGUUGGGAAGUUAACGGCCUACCAAGGCAACGAGGCAUAGCCGACCGCACAGGGUGAUCGGCGACACGGGAACUGGGACACGCUCCAGAGUCCUGAGGGAGGCAGCAGUCGCCAACCUUCCGCAGUGGGCGAAAGCAUGGCGGAGCAACGGCGCGUGAGUGACGACAGCCUUCGGAGCGGAAAACUCGGUUACUAGUUAAGAACCUAUGUGGACGUAAACGAGCCCUUCGUGACGGUAACUAAUAAGAAAGCCACGGCUAACUACGUG